rnacentral:rRNA from 1 species
GAUGAACGCUGACAGAAUGCUUAACACAUGCAAGUCUACUGUGGUGGGCGGGUGAGUAACGCGUAAAGAACUUGCCUCACUGAUAGGGACAUCACUUGGAAACGAAUGCCAAUACCUGAUACUGUGAGAGAGCUUUGCGUCCCAUUAGCUAGUUGGAGAGGUAACGGUUCACCAAGGCGAUGAUGGGUAGCCGGCCUGAGAGGGUGAUAGGCCACAAGGGGACUGGGACGCGGCCCUUACGCCUACUGGAGGCAGCAGUGAGGUAUAUAGGACAAAGGACCACAGUCUGAUCCAGCUAUUCUGUGUGUAGGAUGAGGUUUUAGGAAUGUAAAGAGCUUUCAGUUGAGGAGCGGUACCAACAGAGGAAGUGACGGCUAAAUACGUGCCAGCAGCCGCGGUAAUAC